UACAGCGUUGGCCAGUGCUCCUCUGUA
rnacentral:sRNA from 1 species